rnacentral:rRNA from 1 species
UACGUAGGGGGCUAGCGUUGUCCGGAAUCAUUGGGCGUAAAGCGCGCGUAGGCGGCCAGAUAAGUCCGGUGUGAAAGUCACAGGCUCAACCUGUGAAUGCCGCUGGAAACUGUCUGGCUAGAGUCCGGAAGGGGCGAGUGGAAUUCCUGGUGUAGCGGUGAAAUGCGCAGAUAUCAGGAGGAACACCAAUGGCGAAGGCAGCACUCUGGGACGUGACUGACGCUGAGACGCGAAAGCGUGGGGAGCAAACAGG